rnacentral:rRNA from 1 species
AGAUUGAACUGAAGAGUUUGAUCCUGGCUCAGAUUGAACGCUGGCGGCAUGCUUUACACAUGCAAGUCGAACGGCAGCGCGGGCUUCGGCCUGGCGGCGAGUGGCGAACGGGUGAGUA